rnacentral:rRNA from 1 species
UACGUAGGGUGCGAGCGUUGUCCGGAAUUAUUGGGCGUAAAGGGCUCGUAGGCGGUUUGUCACGUCGGGAGUGAAAACUCGGGGCUUAACCCCGAGCCUGCUUCCGAUACGGGCUGACUAGAGGUAUGCAGGGGAGAACGGAAUUCCUGGUGUAGCGGUGAAAUGCGCAGAUAUCAGGAGGAACACCGGUGGCGAAGGCGGAUCUCUGGGCCUUACCUGACGCUGAGGCGCGAAAGCUAGGGGAGCAAACAGG